CUCCCUAGCAGCUCAGCUCCACGAACAACAGUAAGAGCACAGCAGCCUUGCUUUACCCAUGGUUUACUGUCCAUGGUUUCGGUUAGCACGGAGCAGUGCGAUGAGACAGAUAUUCUGAGAGUGAGACCACACCCACGUAACUUUAUCACACUGUCCUGUCCUGUUUCUGUUACCAGUUAUUGUGGGUAAUCUCUUACUGUGCUUAACUUAUAAAUUGAACUUUAUCAAAACCAUUACAUAAUACAUAUAUUCAUUCAUUACGUUAUUUGAUACACAUAUUCAGACAUCCAAUGAGGGUCUUUGAACACACCCCCUGAGGAUGAGGGACUACUGUAUAACACCAGAUGAGGAUAAGGGGCGGACUACUGUAUAUACACUGGAUGAGAACAAGGGGGGACUACUGUAUACACACGGGAUGAGGAUAAGGGGGGAAUACUGUAGACACACCGGAUAAGGGGGGACUACUGUAUACACACCGGAUGAGGAUAAGGGGGGACUACUGUAUACACACCGGAUGAGGAUAAGGGGGGACUACUGUAGACACACCGGAUAAGGGGGGACUACUGUAUACACACCGGAUGAGGAUAAGGGGGGACUACUGUAUACACACCGGAUGAGGAUAAGGGGGGACUACUGUAGACACACCGGAUGAGGAUAAGGGGGGACUACUGUAUACACACCAGAUGAGGAUAAGGGGGGACUACUGUAUACACACACGGGAUGAGGAUAAGGGGGGACUACUGUAUACACACCAGAUGAGGAUAAGGGGGGACUACUGUAUACACACCGGAUGAGGAUAAGGGGAGACUACUGUAUACACACGGGAUGAGGAUGAGGGACUAUUGUAUACACACCAGAUGAGGAUAAGGGGGACUACUGUAUACACACCGGCUGAGGAUAAGGGGGGACUACUGUAGACACACCGCAAGAGGAUAAGGGGGGACUACUGUAUACACACCGGAUGAGGAUAAGGGGGGACUACUGUAUACACACCGGAUGAGGAUAAGGGGGGACUACUGUAUACACAUCGGGUAAGGGGGAACUACUGUAUACACACAGGACUGACUUUUUACAUUUAAAAAUCAGUGUGUUAGAAUUUAUACAAGAGAACUACUUUCUGCUAGAGGCUGCCCAGCUCCGCCCCUGGCUCUGCAUGGGGUCGGGGCCUGGGCAGGGGAGAGUGAGAUGCCUGCACCUAUUCAUCUCAUUGGUGUGGACACUGCUCAGAGUACCCUGGAUCCUUUUCAAAACCGCCCCCAAAGCCAGCACAGCCCAAGUCGCCAAGGCUGUGGACGGAGCUUUAUGGUCCCUCCCUUUUCAGAACUGGGAGAAACCGCCCACU
rnacentral:lncRNA from 1 species